rnacentral:rRNA from 1 species
GACGAACGCUGGCGGCGUGCCUAAUACAUGCAAGUAGAACGCUGAAGCUUGGUGCUUGCACCGAGCGGAUGAGUUGCGAACGGGUGAGUAACGCGUAGGUAACCUGCCUGGUAGCGGGGGAUAACUAUUGGAAACGAUAGCUAAUACCGCAUAACAGUAGAUAUCGCAUGAUAGCUACUUGAAAGGUGCAAAUGCACCACUACCAGAUGGACCUGCGUUGUAUUAGCUAGUUGGUGAGGUAACGGCUCACCAAGGCAACGAUACAUAGCCGACCUGAGAGGGUGAUCGGCCACACUGGGACUGAGACACGGCCCAGACUCCUACGGGAGGCAGCAGUAGGGAAGCUUCGGCAAUGGACGGAAGUCUGACCGAGCAACGCCGCGUGAGUGAAGAAGGUUUUCGGAUCGUAAAGCUCUGUUGUAAGAGAAGAACGAGUGUGAGAGUGGAAAGUUCACACUGUGACGGUAGCUUACCAGAAAGGGACGGCUAACUACGUG